CGCACGGGUGCGUAAUAAUUAGGUAAUGUGCCCUAUCGCUGAGAAUAACCAGGCGAAAGCUUGGCUAAUACUGAAUACUUCGGGAGGAACUGCGGUUCUUUUCGGGAAAGCCGUAAGGCGCGAAGGAAUAGCCUAAUUCUCAUUAGCUAGUUGGUAGGGUAAUGGCCUACCAAGGCUACGAUGGGUAGCUGGUCUGAGAGGACGAUCAGCCACACUGGUACUGGAACACGGACCAG
rnacentral:rRNA from 1 species